CUGAAGGCAGCUGUCAAAUUACAAAUGAGAUACUAAUAUCAAAUUAGAAAGCAUAUCUGUGAGACAGCUGUGCUCCUUAUUCAAAAUUCAUUUAAGCUGUAUUCUCCUGCACCGUAACUAUGUAAGUUUAGCCAUGCACAGAAAAAGUGCAUUAUUUUUGGAACUUUCUCAAGGUUGUCUGCAUGUCCUUGUUUUCACUGGGUUGUUAGUCUUACCUCAUCAAUCAAACAUUCAUGCACAAACUGUUUUCAUUCAAACCAAUCAAAAUUCACAGCAAAAUCGUUUAUGUAUUUUAAAUUUCCCAUAUUUGCAACUUGCUUUUUUUUCACUUUUGUCUUUAUUUUGCCUCUAAGUUCCACUUUUUCUAUUGUUUUAUCUGUCAGUAAUUCCAAAUUGUGAACAACAUACUUUUUUCUUUUGUUUUACAGCUGCCAUGCAGUCACAUCUGUCACUGGCCUGUCACAUGGAAGAAAGUGCAGCUUGUGGACCCUGUCAUCUUCAUAUUCCAGACUCAAGCUCUCCAAACUACGUUUAUCGUCAGACAGAUAUUUGAAGUGACAAAGCGAACAAGAAAGCUGAGAUUUCUUCACACUCUGCCUAGACACGUCUUAGUCCUCACCGCAGCAAGGUUGGUGCACCUCUUCCCAGCCAUGUCUGUCUGCUCCCCUUCCCCCCCACCUUCUCUUCCGUCGCUCCAUGUUCCCUCACAGAGCUCUUCCAAGCCCACAUGCAGCACCAGGCGACUCUCGGGCCGCGCAGUGCCGCCGCAGGAGCCGCGGGCCCGCGGGCCCCUCGCUCAGCCGGGCUGCUACCGCCACCCCGAGCCCGCCCAGCGCCCCCGGGCACCACCCGGUGCUGGCUGCGCGGUCGUUUCGGGCUGGGAACACGAGACAGCCCUUCGAUCCCAUGAGCCGCAGAGGAGUUGGUCCUGCGAGCGUUCCAACGUUACCGGUACCGCAGCGUUGAGGAAAGCAACAGAAAGGCCAAACAAGCGCUGCCAAGGGCUCCGUGUGGCUCUUCCCUGGUGGUAUUUGUAAGCUCGUAUGAAGGAUGUUGAAGAGACUGUCUCACAUAAAGAUCUUGAAAGGCUGCAGGGACUUCUUUGCCAGUGAGAACUAAAGCAUGACUGCUAUCCAGGAAGUGAGUGGUAAGUCUUAAUGAUAAGGAAAUGUACGUCAACCUGAAGUGGGCAUUAAACAUUCUUGUCAAACUCUAAAGCAUGAAUUAACAAGAAAUACUUGCUUCUCAGUAGUGUAUCUGACUUCAAUUUUGUUUUAAAUGCAGGUGAAUCAGCUCUGUUUUCUUACUGAACUUCAGUUUUUAGUGUUAGUACUGUGGAAGUUUUAUGAAAACUGUAUGCUUUUCCCAGUGUUUUUCUAUUAAAAAUUUAUUCAUGAAUUUUUAAUUUUCAACAGGAUAUUUUUGGCUGAACUAUUUAGCUUUCUACUGUCACUAAAUAAAAGUGUAAUUAUUAAUCA
rnacentral:lncRNA from 1 species